UACGAAGGGGGCUAGCGUUGCUCGGAAUCACUGGGCGUAAAGCGCACGUAGGCGGCUUUCUAAGUCAGGGGUGAAAUCCUGGAGCUCAACUCCAGAACUGCCUUUGAUACUGGAGAGCUUGAGUCCAGAAGAGGUGAGUGGAACUCCGAGUGUAGAGGUGAAAUUCGUAGAUAUUCGGAAGAACACCAGUGGCGAAGGCGGCUCACUGGCCCGGUACUGACGCUGAGGUGCGAAAGCGUGGGGAGCAAACAGGG
rnacentral:rRNA from 1 species